rnacentral:lncRNA from 1 species
CAUAUACUGUGGAUUCAUUUAUUUUCGUGGGUAUCAAUUUUCGUGGAUUGCUGAAAACUUGCAUAUUUAUGGAUAUUUAAUUUCGUGGUUUUACCAAUCUCUGUAUACAAAGCCUAUUGGAAAUACGUUAUUCGUUGAACAUUUGAAUUCAUGGUUAACCUGUACCAACGAAACCCACGAAAAUUGGUAUCCAACGAAUAAUAAUGAAUCCACAGUAU